GGGCGUUAAGUUGCAGGGUAUAGACCCGAAACCCGGUGAUCUAGCCAUGGGCAGGUUGAAGGUUGGGUAACACUAACUGGAGGACCGAACCGACUAAUGUUGAAAAAUUAGCGGAUGACCUGUGGCUGGGGGUGAAAGGCCAAUCAAACCGGGAGAUAGCUGGUUCUCCCCGAAAGCUAUUUAGGUAGCGCCUCGUGAAUUCAUCUCCGGGGGUAGAGCACUGUUUCGGCUAGGGGGCCAUCCCGGCUUACCAACCCGAUGCAAACUGCGAAUACCGGAGAAUGUUAUCACGGGAGACACACGGCGGGUGCUAACGUCCGUCGUGAAGAGGGAAACAACCCAGACCGCCAGCUAAGGUCCCAAAGUCAUGGUUAAGUGGGAAACGAUGUGGGAAGGCCCAGACAGCCAGGAUGUUGGCUUAGAAGCAGCCAUCAUUUAAAGAAAGCGUAAUAGCUCACUGGUCGAGUCGGCCUGCGCGGAAGAUGUAACGGGGCUAAACCAUGCACCGAAGCUGCGGCAGCGANNUGCUGGAGGUAUCAGAAGUGCGAAUGCUGACAUAAGUAACGAUAAAGCGGGUGAAAAGCCCGCUCGCCGGAAGACCAAGGGUUCCUGUCCAACGUUAAUCGGGGCAGGGUGAGUCGACCCCUAAGGCGAGGCCGAAAGGCGUAGUCGAUGGGAAACGGGUUAAUAUUCCCGUACUUGGUGUUACUGCGAAGGGGGGACGGAGAAGGCUAUGUUGGCCGGGCGACGGUUGUCCCGGUUUAAGCGUGUAGGUGUGUGUUCCAGGUAAAUCCGGUUCACUUUAACACUGAGGCGUGACGACGAGGCACUACGGUGCUGAAGCAACAAAUGCCCUGCUUCCAGGAAAAGCCUCUAAGCAUCAGGUAACAUCAAAUCGUACCCCAAACCGACACAGGUGGUCAGGUAGAGAAUACCAAGGCGCUUGAGAGAACUCGGGUGAAGGAACUAGGCAAAAUGGUGCCGUAACUUCGGGAGAAGGCACGCUGACACGUAGGUGAAGUGAUUUACUCAUGGAGCUGAAGUCAGUCGAAGAUACCAGCUGGCUGCAACUGUUUAUUAAAAACACAGCACUGUGCAAACACGAAAGUGGACGUAUACGGUGUGACGCCUGCCCGGUGCCGGAAGGUUAAUUGAUGGGGUCAGCGCAAGCGAAGCUCCUGAUCGAAGCCCCGGUAAACGGCGGCCGUAACUAUAACGGUCCUAAGGUAGCGAAAUUCCUUGUCGGGUAAGUUCCGACCUGCACGAAUGGCGUAAUGAUGGCCAGGCUGUCUCCACCCGAGACUCAGUGAAAUUGAACUCGCUGUGAAGAUGCAGUGUACCCGCGGCAAGACGGAAAGACCCCGUGAACCUUUACUAUAGCUUGACACUGAACAUUGAGCCUUGAUGUGUAGGAUAGGUGGGAGGCUUUGAAGUGUGGACGCCAGUCUGCAUGGAGCCGACCUUGAAAUACCACCCUUUAAUGUUUGAUGUUCUAACGUGGACCCGUUACCCGGGUUGCGGACAGUGUCUGGUGGGUAGUUUGACUGGGGCGGUCUCCUCCUAAAGAGUAACGGAGGAGCACGAAGGUUGGCUAAUCCUGGUCGGACAUCAGGAGGUUAGUGCAAUGGCAUAAGCCAGCUUGACUGCGAGCGUGACGGCGCGAGCAGGUGCGAAAGCAGGUCAUAGUGAUCCGGUGGUUCUGAAUGGAAGGGCCAUCGCUCAACGGAUAAAAGGUACUCCGGGGAUAACAGGCUGAUACCGCCCAAGAGUUCAUAUCGACGGCGGUGUUUGGCACCUCGAUGUCGGCUCAUCACAUCCUGGGGCUGAAGUAGGUCCCAAGGGUAUGGCUGUUCGCCAUUUAAAGUGGUACGCGAGCUGGGUUUAGAACGUCGUGAGACAGUUCGGUCCCUAUCUGCCGUGGGCGCUGGAGAACUGAGGGGGGCUGCUCCUAGUACGAGAGGACCGGAGUGGACGCAUCACUGGUGUUCGGGUUGUCAUGCCAAUGGCACUGCCCGGUAGCUAAAUGCGGAAGAGAUAAGUGCUGAAAGCAUCUAAGCACGAAACUUGCCCCGAGAUGAGUUCUCCCUGAGACUUAUAGUCUCCUGAAGGAACGUUGAAG
rnacentral:rRNA from 2 species